rnacentral:misc_RNA from 1 species
GAUGAAGAACGUAGCGAAAUGCGAUAAGUAGUGUGAAUUGCAGAAUUCAGUGAAUCAUCGAAUCUUUGAACGCACCUUGCGCCCUUUGGCCAUUCCGAAGGGCAUGCCUGUUUGAGUAUCAUGAACACCUCAACUCUUCAUGGUUUUCCGUGAUGAGCUUGGACUUUGGGGGUCUUGCUGGCCUAUGGUCAGCUCCUCUAAAAUAAAUCAGCUUGCCAGUGUUUGGUGGGUAUCACAGGUGUGAUAACUAUCUACGCUUGUGGUUUUCCACCAGGUAACCUUCAGCAGUGGAGGUUCGCUGGAGCUCACAGAUGUGUCUCUCCUCAGUGAGGACAGCUCUUUGAAUGUUUGAUCUCAAAUCAGGUAGGACUACCCGCUGAACUUAAGCAUAUCAAUAAGCGGAGGA